CCGGGCCAGCUGCGGCCGCCCCGCCAAUCUCUGCCCUCCUCUCCGCCCGGCGCCACUGAGCCCCACGCCUGUGCCGAGCUCUGGGGUACGGGCGCCCUAGUCCCGCCGCCGUAGCCACUGCCGGUGCGCCGCAGCUGCCGCGCCACUGAGGCAGAGAAGGAAGAAGAGGAAGGGACUGGAAGCUACUGAAUUUCCCAGUGUUUGCUUCACCACCACCCUCUACCUCCAGGACUUUAACAAUUCAGUCAGCCUCUCAAAGAUAAGGAAGAUGAGGCUCAGAGAAAUGGACGACUUGCUACACAGAGGUGAAAAUCACAAAGAGGUGAAACCUAGAGGCAAGCCCCAAUCUGUGGAACUCCCAAACUGUAUUCCAUUACUCAGUCUGGAGGACAGGCUUUGAUAGCCAAAAGCACUGCAGAACCCCCAAAUUAUGAAGGAACAAAUGGACUCCUUGAGUAGGCAAAAGGAAGGACUAAAGGCUUGAGGAUUAACAGACACACACAUUUGCCUCAUCAUUUUUCCAAAGGAUAGUCAUGCCUACAAGUGAGCUUAAAGUGGCCCAUGUAGACCACUUGGACAUUUAACAACAGAGCCCACUCCUGAACCUUUCCCCACAUGCAACCAUUUAUAUACAUUGUCAAAG
ensembl:lncRNA